rnacentral:rRNA from 1 species
AACGAACGCUGGCGGCAUGCCUAACACAUGCAAGUCGAACGAGACCUUCGGGUCUAGUGGCGCACGGGUGCGUAACGCGUGAGAACCUGCCCUUAGGUUCGGAAUAACUCCCCGAAAGGGGUGCUAAUACCGGAUAAUGUCUUCGGACCAAAGAUUUAUCGCCUUUGGAUGGGCCCGCGUUGGAUUAGCUAGUUGGUAGGGUAAAAGCCUACCAAGGCGACGAUCCAUAGCUGGUCUGAGAGGAUGAUCAGCCACACUGGGACUGAGACACGGCCCAGACUCCUGCGGGAGGAAGCAGUGGAGAAGAUUGGACAAUGGGCGAAAGCCUGAUCCAGAAAUGCCGAGGGGGUGAUGAAGGCUUUAGGGUUGUAAAGCUCUUUUACCCGGGAUGAUAAUGACAGGACCGGGAGAAUAAGCUCCGGCUAACUCCGUG